AGGACGAACGCUGGCGGCGUGCUUAACACAUGCAAGUCGAGCGGAAAGGCUCUUCGGGGUACUCGAGCGGCGAACGGGUGAGUAACACGUGAGUAAUCUGCCCCUAGCUCUGGGAUAGCUCCGGGAAACCGGGAUUAAUACCAGAUACGACCACUUUAGACAUCUGCUGUGGUGGAAAGAAUUUCGGCUAGGGAUGAGCUCGCGGCCUAUCAGCUUGUUGGUGAGGUAACGGCUCACCAAGGCGACGACGGGUA
rnacentral:rRNA from 1 species